CAGGGUGUGGUCUGGACAUGGACCUUGGUUAAGGUCACAAAAAUUCUCAAAUCAAAUAAUUGGGUUAAGUUAGAGCAAAGUUCAUCAACAAUAAAAUGACAGAAUUCAGGAAAAGUCGGCUUCCUUCUUGCAUUUCAGGAAGGCUAGCAUUGUUCCUAAUACUAGUACAUAGGUGUAAGUAACCUCUGAGUGGGUAAUGCCACCAAACAAAAGCAACACCUUCAAAGUCUCUCUCAGUGACUAGAGGCAGCCAGACACUCAAACUGCCAGUCCUGAAUUACGGCCUCUGAAUGGUGAGGGCUUCACAUUUCACUGAUCAGGGCACAGCCCAAUCAGAAGACAAACCCCUGCACUGCCAGGGACCAGCAAAUCCGCUUUCUUCCAGUGUGCACAUGACUGAAUGUGCUUCUGUCCAUCAUCUGGGUCAUAUAUAGUUCAAUGCGAGCUGAGCAGACAGGGCUGCAAGGAAAUCUGGCGCGGUUCAGUACCUCAUCUAGUCUGGGUUCCAGUAUCUAAUUUUUUUUUUUACUGACAAACUCAUUUCUCUACCGGGACAGGAUGCUGUGCUGGCUGGGAGUUCCAUUUCUACAGCAAGAAUCCUAUCUGGAAACAGAGAAGUUGUCCUCUAAGCCACAGCAGCUCGAACUUUUUUGAUUGUUGUUGCUGCUUUCUCCCAUCACCCCCACCCCCUUUUGACAAAGAUCCAACUGUAAAAAGUCUUACGUAACAGUUCAGGACUACUUCGGUUCUUUUACUGGUAUAUCAAGAGGCCUCAAGAGGACUAUGAAAACAUUUACAUCUCCAACUCAGAGCAAUGUGGGUUUCACAAUAUUUCGUAGUACCUCUGGAAAAGGAAAGAAAGGAGGUAAGUGAAACAAUAAAGGAUGGCAUGGUGAGUUUUGACAAACUCAGAACCAGUCUAAAUGAAUUUAUUAAUUUGGACCAAUUUAUUAAAUGUGUAGUAGCUUCUAUAAUCUGGCUAAUUUAACCCUCAACUUUUUUAACCCCUAGACUUCUGCACUGAGUACAUACAUCUCUUGGCCAAACUCACUGAAAAGAUCCAAUGCGUGCCUUAAAUUUGCUUGAUGAUAAAAACUAAACUUAAGGAUUUAAAGCAAAUUGAAGGAAUGAAGAUAACAAAGGCCUUUAUUGCCCUGAAAAUUAACUGUCUCAAACACAAUGGGAAACACCCCUACGUCACUUUAGAAACCUUUCACUCUUCUCUAGUUUUGCAAGUCUACGAAAAGCAUUCUUUUUAGAAUGCCAUGAAUUUAAGAAAUCGUAUUUUGUAAACAUCUAAUGGUUUGGGGGAGCAGAGGUCAGUAUUUUUUUAAAGCCUGACUAUUAUCAAAAUGGAAUAAGACAUUGACUUCUCUUCAUAUUAUCAGGCCAAGGAGAAGACCAUUUAAAAUAAACCCAUUAAAGAGUUUUUAAAAUACCACACAGUAACAGUUGCUUGAUGUUUUGUUGUCGAUUGUAUACAAUUUACUGUCAUAAUACUGAGGACUCAACAAAGCUGGCUAACUGAAGUGUUUUGACAGAGGGUGAGAUAAUUAAACUGAUGUAGAAGGUAAACAGUUUAUAUCCAAACCAAAUUCUCAGUGGCUGAUUUUUUUUUUAAUGUGUACCAUUUGGUUGUUUAAAAAUGAAUUUGAGAACAGUCAACUUUUAAUAUUUAAACUUAAAGCAAAUGGUAAUAACUAUCCUGGAUUAAAGAUUAACCUCAAUUCAGCCAGCAGUUCUAUAAGCACUUUUUCUACGGAGCAUGCCUGGAUCCCUCCCAUUAUAAACCCUAUAUUCUGAAAAAUUCCAUGUAAUUAAUUCAUUUUCCAGAUUUUUCAUCAAGGACAUUCAACAGGCAAUAAAAAAUAACCAGUAUGUCUACAAUGCACUGAUACCAUUUCUGCCAGAAGCUAAGACACCUGACAUUUUAGUUACUCUCUGUGAUCUUACUAAGGAGAAAUGCAGGCUUUCUAUUAGGUGGUAGAGUUCUUAUUUUUUGCUUUUUCAAUAUGGAAAAUAGACUACCCCUGAACCUCUGUGGUAACUUGGUGAUCCAGGAUCUCAGCUUAGAGAGAUCACCAAUUAUAAAGGUCAAUUUUUUUUAUCUUCUUCUAUGAAACAUUUCACCUACUAUUAUUACAGGCAAAUAAGAAGAGGAUGUUUACUUGUUUGACUUAGAUCUCACUGAAGGUCCUGCCCCCAGAUACACAACAGUAAGUUUUGUGGUGGUCAACGGAGGAGGCAGUACAAUCAGUGAGUUUUUGCUAUCAUAAAGUCCAGUAUUCAAGGUCUAGCUUGCAACCUUGGCUCCUGGCUAUGUAACUUUGGGCAAAUCACUUAAGACUCAGUUUUCUCAUGAGGUCAAAGUACGUUGAGAAUUUAAGGAGAUAAAAAUAUAUAAAUCCCAGUAUACAGUAAGUCCUCAAUAUAUGUUAAUUUCUUUCUUAUCCUUGCCCUUUAAUAAUUAAAGUACUACUAUAAAAUGGGAUAUCUGAUAUUUUCAGAAUUACAAAAUAAUACUAUUCAAAGCUCUUUUCUCAGAUAUCCAUUUGAGUCUGCUUAUAUAUAAAUAACUGCAGCCUCACAAUCCUGAAGUUUGUUAGCUCUGCGCUGUACACAAAGUGAUUUCUUAAAUACAACUUCAAACCCGGAAAAGAAUGUGAGACGCUCCAUCAGCAGUGGUCUCUCAGGCUCACUGGCUCCUGAAACAUGGGUGCAGGCUGAAGAAGGGCUGCCAGGGCCAGGACCCAGUCUUCAGAGGACUCCAAGGAACAUUCAACGCUGUCGGUGAGUUUGGGAUUUGAAAAAACCACCGACCGUUGACUGUACCUUGGGGUCCUUAUAGACAACACUAUAUUUCCUGAAGCAAAGGAGCAUGCUGUGCCUUCACAUAUCACAUUAGAUCACCAAAAUCAGUCCCGCUCCCCAUCCCCCAGAGGUGGUCCAGUUAAUUUUUUAAAAGCUCCCCUCUAUUUCUCUUGCCCAUUGUUCCUUGCUUUUUGUUGUGUUUUCGACAAACAAGUGUUUCAUUUCAACAAGAUAAGGAAAGCUCCAUGAUAAUACCUAACGUUUUUAAAUGUCUCCUAGAAAUAGGCCAUUCUGGAGAGAAACUGGAUGUAGCAAGAAGAGAUUUAUUAAAAACAUGUAUUUCAUUUUGGAGUAAAAUCCAGUUAAGUAUUUUACAGCCAUUUCUCCCAUGUCCCCUCAAAACCUUUAAUUAGGGACAAGGGGAGGAUUUAAUAAGCAAAAAUAGCACAGACCUGUCCAAUGUCUGCACAGUUCUUAACACAUUCUACCUCCAAUUACAGUUAAGGUAGUUAAGUUCUGACAGCCCCAUUAGAAUAUGAGCUGUUUGAAAACAGCAACUGCCUCACCAUUUCCAUCCACACAUAAGCUGAUUUCCAUGUUCGUUAAAUUCAAGUAAAAAGUCACGUCUGGAGUCAGAAGGAUCUGGGAUGAAUCUUGGCUCAGAACUCCCUAACUAGCUGUGUGACCCUGAGCAAGUGUCCGAGUCUCAGCUUUCUCAUGUAUAAAAUGGGGGAUAAUAAGUAUCCCUACCUCAUAGAGUUUUGAGAUUCAAUAAGAUAAUAUAUAAAGUGCUUUGUACCAUUCCUAGCACACAAAAAUGCUCAAUAAAUGUAAGCUAUUAUUAUUUAACCCAAAGCAUAAUCUGUGCUAAUUUACUUUGAAAGGCACUCGUAAUUCUCAGUUCAAAACAGAGAGAAAGAAAUAGGGUCCUCAGCUCUUGUUUAUACCUACCAGUAUGCAAGCACUGCCUGUGUAGUCACAGAGCUACCCGUUAGCUUUUCCAAGAGCUCCUUCCCUUCCCUGAACCAUAGUUUCUCCAUCUUUAAGAAUCUCCCAGCUCUACUGUCAAUGUUAUCUAUAAUUGGGAGGAUCCUCAACGGCUGGUUACUAAGAGAGAUGCCAGAACCAGACCUCAAAAAUCCAGCGUGGAAAAGAAGAGCCAGGAGUUGGGACAGGCCAGGGCAACUUCACCAACUUGAAACACUGAUGGCUGCACUCAACAUUCAUUGCUGUCGGUGGGUUUGAGUCUGAGUCAACUCACUGAUCAAUGAAUGCAAACUGCGGACCAAACAAUCCAAGGGAAGCAAAAUCGUGUGUAGAGAAUCACCCAAGUGUAUCAGCUACUGUGCUGGGUGGGAGCUGCUGCUGUCUCCAAUGUACUGGCUAAAGGCUUUGGUUCUAAUACAGAGUAAGCCCUCUAAAUUCCUAAUACUUUUCUUCGCCCCCCUCCCUUUAUUUUUUUAAAAAAACGAUGUUUUAGAAUUAAGGGAAUAUUUUAUAGAAAGAAUAAACAUCAUACCAUAUUUUAAAAAACAAUGUUUUCAUAAUUUUUAAAUUUAGAAGAAUCACAUGCUCAUUAUUUAAAAUUCAAAUAAGAAAUAAAUAAAAACUGAAAAUCCCUUUCCUCAUCAUCUACAAUCAUUUCCUCAAUGGAAAUCACCUAUAACUAUAAUAAAUCAGUUUAAUAACUUGUUUAAAAUAAUAAAUACAAUUAUAACAAACUAUUUAUUGUAUUAUCUAUCAUUAAAAGGAUAAAUAUCAUAAGUAAACUAAAUAUUUAUUUUAUUUCCUUGAAGACCUUUAUCCAUGAACAUAUAAACAGAUACAUACCACAAAAAACCACAACUUUGUGGUUUUUUGGAGGGUGGCUUAAAACAAAAACUACCUCAUUUUAUUUAUUUUUAUUUUUUAUUUUUUUGGCUGCACCGCAUGCCUUGCAGAAUUCUCAGUUCCCUGACCAGGGGUUGAACCCAGGCCACGGCAGUGAAAGCCCAGAAUCCUAACCACUAGGCCAGCAGGGAACUCCCCAAAACUACCUCAUUUUAUACUUACUCCCACACAAUCUUCUUUUUCACUCAGAUAUACAUUACGGAUAGCCUUCCACAACAAUCUUGUUAUAGUUAUAUUAACUAUACAGUUAUAUGCCUUAGUAUGAACACCCUGGUUAUUAUUGUUCAAAUAUAUUUAAAUAUUCUCUUUUGACCAAAACUAUAAGGUCCAUUCAUUCUGACCUUUGCAACUCCCAUCCCUCAAUUAAGAGAAAAAAACAAGUGAGAUGGGAGAUUCACUUCAUUUCUCUUAGCAAAAAUUAAAAUGUAGUAUCAACUCUCUGAAUCCUUUAAAAUAAGAUAAGCCACUAAAUCUUUCAUGAUAAUGACAGGAAAACAAAUGCAUUGAUCAUGAAUAAUUUAUCAUACACAUAAGUCUGAGAUAGAAAGAGAUUCUCAUAGCAAAAGUCAAAUUAAAUAAGGCAGCAGGAGAAGAGGCUUGUCAACUUAGCCUUCUGAAAAUUUUUUUCUCAGAGGUAGGAAGGAAGGUGACGUGCCCGUGAAGUGAGACAAGAACUAAAAAGACAAAUCAAAGCCAAAAGAAAAAUGCAAAAAAUGAUGAGAAUUGGGACUUCCCUGGUGACGCAGUGGUUAAGAAUCCACCUGACAAUGCAGGGGACACAGGUUCAAGCCCUGGUCCAGGAAGAUCCCACAUGCCACAGAGCAACUAAGCCCAUGCGCCACAACUACUGAGCCCACGUGCCAGAACUACUGAAUCCCGCAUGCCUGGAGCCCGUGCUCCGCAACAAGAGAAGCCACCGCAAUGAGAAGCCUGCACACCGCAACAAAGAGUAGCCCCCACUCUCUGCAACUACAGAAAGCCUGUGCACAGCAACAAAGACCCAACGCUGGCAUGCAUGCAUGCAUGCAUAAAUUUAUUUAUUUAAAAAAAAGAUGAGAAUUCAGGAAAAAUAUGGGGUUCAGGCCAGUGUUUCCCAAACCUGGUUGUACAUCAGAAUCAUCUAGAGUUGCUUUUAAAAAUGCAGGGUUCCUGAGUUCUACCCCAGAUCACAAGUAGGGCCCUACAAUCCGUAUUUUAUUAUAUAACAAGUUCACCAGGUAUUUAGAGCCACCGGAGGCUGGUUUGAAGCAAAGCCAAGCCCACCAACUUAACACUGGAUUCUGACCACCACACUUCAUGUCAUCCACUUCGCAACUAUUGCCCAAACUUCUGUGCCACCAUCUGAUACUGCCACUAGUCUUCUGAGUACAGAAAACUAUAGCCAUACUUAUGUUGCUAUUGAGUAACUCUCUUCAGAGUGAAUAAAACUUUGCACCAUGUUGUGGCAGCCAAACAAAUCAAAUUGUAUCUGAUGUUUUAUAGAAACAGAUGCACUUUAGUUUAUGUUCUCUCAAAAACUAAAACCUACCUAAAGAACCUAAUGAAUGGGACCCUGCCUGGUGGUCCAGUGGUUAAGAAUCUGACUUCCAACACAGGGGACACAGCUUCGACCCCUGGUCAGGGAAUUAAGAUCCCCCACGCUGCAGGGCAACUAAUCCCGCGCGCCACAACUACUGAGCCUGCAUGCCAUGACUAGAGAGCCUGUAAUGGUGCAACUACUGAGUCCUCAUGCCACAACUAGACAGCCCACGUGCCGCAACUACUGAGCCCAUGCUCUGGAGCCCGCGCGCCACAACAAAAGAUUCCACAUGCCGCAACGAGGAUCCCACAUGCUGCAACUAAGACCCGACGCAGCCAAAGUAAAUAAAAUAAAUUUUAAAAAAAAGAAAGAAAGCAGCCAUUAGAGUUUCUUUAAAAAUAAAGAACCUAAUGAAUGAACAAGGUUAAAUUCAGAUGACUGUCCCACCCAAGAAGUCUUUACAGAAAUCAAAAACUUUUCUUUCUUUCAUACUGGUGGACACAUAGGAGGUAAUUCACAUAUCGCUGUUUGUCAGGAUGUCAUGCAUCCUAUAGGUAUUUACUUUCAACCACCAAUUAUUUCCAAAUUUCUGAAAACAUUAGAAAAGAAUGUCUGACAGGGCUUCCCUGGUGGCGCAGUGGUUAAGAAUCUGCCUGUCGAUGCAGGGGACAUGGGUUCGAGCCCUGGUCCGGGAAGAUCCCACAUGCCGCAGAGCAACUAAGCCCGUGCACCACAACUACUGAGCCUGCGCUCUGGAGUCCGUGAGCCACAACUGCUGUAGCCCGUGCGCCUAGAGCCCAUGCUCUGCAACAAGAGAGGACACCGCAGUGAGAAGCCCGCGCACUGCAACGAGGAGUGUCCCCCACUCACCACAACUGGAGAAAGCCUGCGCGCAGCAACAAAGACCCAACGCAGCCCAAAAAAUAAAUAGAAAGAAUGUCCGACAUGUUCUUUGAAAAAUGUACAACUGAACAAGCAUGCCAUUUAUUUACCCAGACAAUCAGUAGUCUCUAUAUAUGCCAAUGAAAAAAUUACAUAUUUUAGCCACCAAAAUCCUCUAUAGUUUCUAUUGGAUAAAACUAAGUGCUACAGGAAGGGAGAACUUAUGUGAGUUUGAGGGUGUUUCCUGCAGAUGGGACUUGUAAAUAAAUACCUGCACAGAGAAAAUAUGUGGCAUGUAUAGUGGACAAGAGCAGAAUAGUUCAGAGAUUAUGUUUGGGCGCACUGAAAAAGUAAAUGACAGACGGUCUUGUGAGCCAGGCAGAAAAGUUUAGAAUUAGUGCAACAGGAAGCCACUUUAAGUGGUUAGCUCUGCAAGGAGAUAACGAAAGCAAGACUUUGGGAAGAUUCACCAAGCAGAUGAAGUAGGAGGAAGGGAGGAGAGAUCUGAGACAAAAAGAAAUAGAAAUCUGUUGCACAAAAGAGCUAAGCUAAAAGGGAGGAAGCAGGAAUAGACAGAAUGAAAAGGAUAUCUCAAAAAGGCAUUUUAGCUUUUGGUUUUGGUUGCCUUUUGUUUUUCAAAUAGAUUUUUUUUGGGGGGGGGUACUACAUAGUUACUGAAAAAUUGAUACAAAAGAGAAAACUAAAGUCCACCAGUUGCCCCCGCCGCUCGCAUCAUUCUGUUCAGUGUAUUAUUCUUCCAGAUAUUUCAGAGAUAUUUAAAAUAUUAAUAUAUGUAUUUAUAUUUAGAGAAAAUACCACAAAUUACACAUAAUUUUCCGUAACGCUUUUUUCACUUAAAACAUUGCGGUCAUCUUUCCAGGUCAAAGGAUUAGAGCCAUCUUGUAACUGGCUCAAACAGAAAAGAUACUGACGAAGUUCAAACAGACUGGAAGCAAAAAUGUUAACAGUUGCAAUCUCCAAGUUGUAGGAUUAAAGGUGAUUUUUAAGUUUAUCAUUUACAACUCAUCUAUGUCUUAGAAGCGUUUGGCAAUAAAUAUGAACUAUUUCAACAAUUAAGAAAAAUUAUUUAAAUGCCUUUUCUUAAAAAGCAAAGAUUUCUUUUAGAUGCAAGAUAUACCUACGUUUGACUGAAAAGCAUAUGGAAGAAUCCACAGAGGGAAAGGAAGAAAUGACGGACUAUUUUUAUUAAGAAAGGGUACCUGUAGAAAGCACAGCUGCAGGGACAGUGGAAAAUAAAGGGCUCCAGGUCCAUGGUUGAAGUGGUCACUUUGGAGGGCAGACACAUCGGCCUCAGAGAAUGAAAAUUACAAAGCAAAUUCCAGCCUACUUCUGUUCUCCUCUCAGGCUAUAUCUCAAUAGGAUCCAACUGGGUGAUCCCAAAUCUUGCAAGGGGCCUGCCAUGGAACAGACAUUCCAUAAAUGGUUGCCAAAUGAAUUCCCUUAUGUUUUAUGACACAAUUAUGUUUAUAACUUAUGAAACUCCUUGAAGUAAGCAUAGGAUACCUUCAAACCAUCUGUGCCAUGAAGUACAGUUCCAACGCAGGUAUAAUUUUAAUAUCUACCAGAUAUCAGGACAAAGCUAUCUUGAUUAUACUUGCUAUAGAACCCCUGAAUUUACACUGUAGCCCAACUUCCCCUCCUACUCUUCAGACUAACUAAAUCUACUGAAAACUACACGCACAAUCCAUCAAAAUCACAUGCCCCUUUCUCUUCUCUUCCCAGUACAGUGGGUCCUCCAUAUCCAAGAUGUGGAGGACCAAAGAUACUGCACCAUUUUAUAUAAGGGAUUUGAGCAUCCUCGGAUUCUGGUGUCCAAGGAGGAUCCUGGAAUCAAUUCCUGUGGAUACCAAGGGACGACUGUAAAUAGCUGAGGCAAAACAGUAGAGUAAAAAGGAAAUAAGUGGUUUGGCAUAGUAUGGAGUUAGAAAACCUGAAUUUAAUUCCAAUUUCUGCCAUGGUUAUGUGUUCUUGGACAAGUGAGUCACCUCUUAAGCCUUAAUUCUCCAUGAAAGAGAGACUAAGUACACCUCUCCUAUCUUCACAGGAUUGUUGUGAGGCCUCAGAGAGAGCACAGUGAAAAAAUGUGCUGCAAACAGCACACAGCAGUACAGCCCAAUGCAUCCUGGCCUUUGACGGUACUACUCCAUGGCUUAUCCUCACUUUUAGUAGAUAAGAUUCCCUCACUCCCCAAACUCUCACCUACUUGUCAACCAGAAGCACGUAUUUGCAAGAUGUCUAGCUGAGGUUAUUAAUCUAUAACCUGGGGCUGAAUGCAGGCAUUUUUCUGUGUAUACGUGUCACCAGCAUAGACAGUCCAUCAGAGCCACAAUCUAUUUAUUUAGGUCUUUGUAAACUUCUCUCAGAAAUAUUUUAGUUUUUAGUGUACAAAUCUUACACUUCUUUUGUUAAAUUUAUUCCUAAGUAUUUUAUUAUUUUGAUGCAAUCGUGAAUGGAAUUGUUUUCUCACUUUCAUUUUUGGACCAUUGCUCGCUAUAAAAAUACAGCUGAUUUUUGUAUAUUGAUCUGGUAUCCUGUGACCUUGCUAAACUCAAUUAGUUCUACUUGUUUUGUGGGUUUUUUGUGAAUUAUUUAGGAUUAUAUAUAGGAUUAUGUCACCUAUGAAUAAAAACAGUUUUAAGACAUCCAAUUUAGAUGCCUUCCCCACUAACCCUCACAUUACUGUACUAGCUAGAACCUCCAGUGAAUGUUGAAAAGAAGUAGUAAGAGCACAUUCUUACCUACCUUAUUCCCAAUCUUAGGGGAAAGGUACUUAUAUUUACCCAAUUAAGUAUUGUGUUAGCUUUAGGCUCUUCAUGGAUGUUCCUUGGUCAAAUUGCGGAAGUUACCUUCUAUUCCUAGUUUGUUGGGAGAUUUUGAUCAUGAAUAGGUAUUGAAUUUUGUCAAAUGUCUUUCCUGUGUCUACUCAGAUGAUCAUGUGGGGCUUUUUAACCUUUAUUUUAUUAGACUUAUUUUAUGGCCCAGAAUACUCUUAGAGACUGUUCUAUGUGUACUUGAAAAGAAUGUAUAUUCUGCAUGGAGUAUUCAAUAAACAUGAGCUAUGGUAA